rnacentral:rRNA from 1 species
GACGAACGCUGGCGGCGUGCUUAACACAUGCAAGUCGAACGGUGAAGCGCCUUCCUUUUUGGUGGGUGUGGAUGAGUGGCGAACGGGUGAGUAACACGUGGGUAACCUGCCCCCUUCUUCUGGAUAACCGCAUGAAAGUGUGGCUAAUACGGGAUAUUCUGGGUCUGUCGCAUGAUGGGUCUGGGAAAGAUCUUGUUUCGGUGGGGGACGGGUUCGCGGCUUAUCAGCUUGUUGGCGGGGUGUUGGCCUACCGAGGCGGGGACGGGUAGCCGGGCUGAGCGGGUGGACGGGCACACGGGGACUGAGACACGGCCAAGACUCCUAGGUGAGGCAGCAGAGGCGAAGAUUGGCCACUGGGGGCAAUACUGAUGCAGCGAGGCCGCGUGAGGGAUGGAGGCCUUCGGGUUGUGAACCUCUUUCCCCAGUGAAGCAGGCCUGCCUCGUUUGUGGGUGGGUUGACGGUAGCUGGAGAAGAAGCGCCGGCUAACUACGUG